UAUUACAGCAACUACUCUUCAGCUGUUAUGGUAUAUCUGUUGAGAUUGCUAGUUACCAGGCCAUGCGCAGCAGGGCUUAGCUUGUAGUCCGUAUCACGAAUAAAACAUGGUUUUAGAAGCGGAAUUUUGCACACCAAAAAGGCCUCCCAGCAAGCCAAGAGGACAAUAAUACUGAGAUCGCAUUGGAUAUUCUCAACAUGGCAAAGUCGCUUCCAACGCCCCAACCCCUCGAAAUGCAGGGAGAUAUGGCCACCAACUGAGAAAUAUUCAAAGAAAGCUGGGAAAACUAUAUUAUCGCGACGCAAUUAAACAAGAAAUCGGAUGCAAUCGUGGUAGCGACUCUCUUGAUAGUCAUGGGCUAAGAUUGCUACAGAAUUUACAAGAAUUUGCCCCUCACCGAUGAUGAACGAAAGUCCCCCACAUCUAUUCUGGAGAAAUUAGGUCAGGAAUUCCAGCCCAAGAGGAACAUUAUAUAUGAGAGGUACUUGUACUUUUGCAACGUCCAAUAGCCCAGUGAAAGCUUUGACCGUUUCUUGAACAGACUCAGACAUCGCAUUGCCACAUGCAAGUACACUACUCUUGAGAAUGAAAUGUUAAGGGACCGAAUUGUUUCUGGGGUCAACAACAGUGACACCCGAGAACGCCUUCUAAGAGAAAAAGAACUAGACAAAGCAAUAAACAUUUGUCGCACAAGUGAAAUGGCAGUUAGACAGCUUCACAAAAUGGAGCCAACGGAGACCGUCCACUAUACGAAGCAAAACAAGUCCAAAUCAAAGCUGAGGCAGAUCACAGACUGCAAGUACUGUGGUGACAGCCAUGCCGCUGGAAAAUGCAAAGCAUUUGGGCAGGUCUGCAGUAAAUGCAGCAAGAAGAAUCACUUCGCUAGAGUUUGCAUGUCCACUCGUCAGGAUCAUAAGGCGAGCCAGCCUCAACAGAAGCCAGGCAAGCAGGCUAGAAGAGGUAAACAAAACUUACACCAACUAGAAGAGAGCUCAUGCAGUGACGAUGAUGAUGAAUUCUCCAGCAAUGACAGCCUGUAUACCAUUCACUCAAACCAGAAGAAAAGCAGGGUUGGAUCCAGGGUAGUUUACGUGAGUUCCGGAACACACUCAAAGUUUUUCGGACCAAGUUAUUUUGAACUUAAAUGGCUUUUUUAAAAAUACUCCGAUAUCCCUAGAAACUAUUGGCUUGUCUGUGGAAAUCAUUCAAUCUCCUGUACUUUUGCUUUUUAAUUAAAUUAAACACGUAAAAAGA